AAGCCAGUCGAAGAUACCAGCUGGCUGCAACUGUUUAUUAAAAACACAGCACUGUGCAAACACGAAAGUGGACGUAUACGGUGUGACGCCUGCCCGGUGCUGGAAGGUUAAUUGAUGGGGUUAGCGUAAGCGAAGCUCCUGAUCGAAGCCCCAGUAAACGGCGGCCGUAACUAUAACGGUCCUAAGGUAGCGAAAUUCCUUGUCGGGUAAGUUCCGACCUGCACGAAUGGCGUAAUGAUGGCCAGGCUGUCUCCACCCGAGACUCAGUGAAAUUGAACUCGCUGUGAAGAUGCAGUGUACCCGCGGCAAGACGGAAAGACCCCGUGAACCUUUACUAUAGCUUGACACUGAACAUUGAGCCUUGAUGUGUAGGAUAGGUGGGAGGCUUUGAAGUGUGGACGCCAGUCUGCAUGGAGCCAACCUUGAAAUACCACCCUUUAACGUUUGAUGUUCUAACCUAGGCCCAUAAACUGGGUCGGGGACCGUGUCUGGUGGGUAGUUUGACUGGGGCGGUCUCCUCCUAAAGAGUAACGGAGGAGCACGAAGGUUGGCUAAGCAUGGUCGGACAUCAUGCGGUUAGUGCAAAGGCAUAAGCCAGCUUGACUGCGAGAGUGACGGCUCGAGCAGGUACGAAAGUAGGUCUUAGUGAUCCGGUGGUUCUGAAUGGAAGGGCCAUCGCUCAACGGAUAAAAGGUACUCCGGGGAUAACAGGCUGAUACCGCCCAAGAGUUCAUAUCGACGGCGGUGUUUGGCACCUCGAUGUCGGCUCAUCACAUCCUGGGGCUGAAGUAGGUCCCAAGGGUAUGGCUGUUCGCCAUUUAAAGUGGUACGCGAGCUGGGUUUAGAACGUCGUGAGACAGUUCGGUCCCUAUCUGCCGUGGGCGUUGGAAGAUUGAGAGGGGUUGCUCCUAGUACGAGAGGACCGGAGUGAACGCACCACUGGUGUUCGGGUUGUCAUGCCAAUGGCAUUGCCCGGUAGCUAAGUGCGGAAGAGAUAACCGCUGAAAGCAUCUAAGCGGGAAACUUGCCUCGAGAUGAGUCUUCCCUGUCGCUUUAAGUGACCUAAAGGAACGUUUAAGACUAAGACGUUGAUAGGCUGGGUGUGUAAGCGUAGCGAUACGUUGAGCUAACCAGUACUAAUGAACCGUGAGGCUUAACCUG
rnacentral:rRNA from 1 species